GAUGAACGCUGGCGGCGUGCCUAAUACAUGCAAGUCGAGCGAACCACUUCGGUGGAGAGCGGCGAACGGGUGAGUAACACGUAGGAAUCUGCCCAUUAGACGGGGACAACGAUUGGAAACGAUCGCUAAUACCGGAUAGGACGAAAGUUUAAAGAUGCUUCUGGCAUCGCUAAUGGAUGAGCCUGCGGCGCAUUAGCUAGUUGGAGAGGUAAGAGCUCCCCAAGGCGACGAUGCGUAGCCGACCUGAGAGGGUGAACGGCCACACUGGGACUGAGACACGGCCCAGACUCCUACGGGAGGCAGCAGUAGGGAAUCUUCGGCAAUGGACGAAAGUCUGACCGAGCAACGCCGCGUGAACGAUGAAGGCCUUCGGGUUGUAAAGUUCUGUUAUAAGGGAAGAAUGACUAUCAUAGGAAAUGAUGAUAGAGUGACGGUACCUUAUGAGAAAGCCACGGCUAACUACG
rnacentral:rRNA from 1 species